AUCUAUCUAUCUAUUAUAAAGUAGUAUUUUGAUCUCUCCUUUUUGCGCCACAUAGGAUUCCACCUAGAAAAGUCGAGCUCUGGAGUUGUGACACCAGCCAAACAAAACACACCGUAUCAUUUAAACAUAAUCAAAUUAAAAUGGGCUUUUUCUUGAAUAUUUAGUGGGCUCUUUCUUAUUUAGUUUUGCAAAAGUCAAAAGGUAAACCCGUUAGAGAGACUAAUAUUUUCUUAGCGCAAGCGAUAUCCAGUUUUAGGGUUCAUCUUCUACUUUGAUCUCUGACGAUCUUCACCCACAAUGGAGUUUCAGGAGGGUUGAGUUAGACGAAUCGUCGUGAACAAUCCCUAUAUUAAACAUCGUUGUUUCGUUUUCGGUUCUUAUCCUCUGAAACGUUGCGAGAUUAUUGAUUAAACGUCAUUAACACCUUUAACACAUCCCCACAAUUCCUCAUAGCUAUAAAUUGGUUUCCGAAGAUUUGGUGUAUCGCUUACUGUAAUGAUAUCAUCUCGCGGUCUUCUCCCUGUGAAACAAGAUUGUUCCAAAUCCUCUUAGUCUGGUUUCCGACGACUCGAUAUCACAGUUUGGUUUCUGACGACUCGGGAUCAUUACUUUGACGGAGCCAGUGUUAGCCAUUGUGGCAGAGAAACGUGUCGUUGCAGUGAUGACAACUAUAGCAGAAGACGACAUCCCAAAUAUCAGUCAUGAGUUUGGAACAAAGGUCAUGGGUUACUGCAAGUACUCCCCUACACAACAGCAUCACGAAUUGAGGGUUAGAAUCCUUCUUUAUGUGUACCUGAGAUAUUAGAAAACAGACUGGUGGGGCGGAAGAGAGGUUGGCAGUCUUUAAUUAUGGGAUGUUCUGUGCAUUACUAGCCAAAUAAAAUCUGUUCUGGAGUUGCGAAGUCAACAACAAUUUUUGAAUAACAGAGGUAGCAGCGGCAAUUGUGGGGAUGAUUGCUUGACUUUUUGACUUUCAUCGAUUGUCAUGCUUAAGGUACAAUUUCUCAGCUGUUUUUCUAAGUUCCAUAGUAAUUUAUAUAUUUUUAAAUCUGAGGCAGAACAUGCUUGUGGACUGUUUGUUUUGUGAGAAAUUUACCUUCAAAGACACAUUUUGAGUUUUCAGACACAUUGAGUUUGGAAGACACUUUCCCAAAUCAUUUUGUCUAAUUUGCCCUUGAACUCGACAUCCAGUGUUUGAGUAAAUAAUAAAUUAUAGAAACAUUUUUUUUUUAUUUUGCAUCCAUAACUUAAAAUUCUCAGAUCCCCUUUCUCUUGACAUAAUUCCAAACACACGUCUCAGAUUCAUCUAUCAUCUUUGACAAUUACAUUUGAACUAGAGUACCGUCGUCCUCUCCAUCACUUUCAGAGACAGUCUGUUUUUCCGAGACCGUUGUGUUCAUCAGAGGUCGGCGUGUUCUUCCUAUGUCUUCUUGCUGGAUCUUCCCAACACCAAAACCCAAUCUCUCUGGCUCUUCUAUCUAACAUCCAAGACCAAACACGAAUCUCGUUGUCUCCUCCAUCUGAUAUCCAUUGUUUGUUGUUUCUGAGGUUAUUAGGGCGUGGCUACAUAUCCGUGGACACACAAGCGCAUGUGGGGGGGGGGGUUUGGUUGUGGAUGCAAUGUUGGGUAAGGACACAGAUGUGUGGAUACGUAUUGUUGGAUACAUGAACUGUGGUUGGGUUAUAUUUUUAGGAUUUGGUGGAUACUUAGUCGUGGAUACGCAAUUUCCAUGUCUAUGUCGUCACUGACCACACCAUCAUUGUCCACGUCUCUCCGUGUCUCUAUAUAAUGUUACAAUUUUUCGAUUUAUAUCCACAAUUAUACAACAUGUACGCACUCCCCUAUCUAUGCUUUCUUAUCUACACUUCCCCAAAUCAUAAACCCCAAUCCACAUAAACCAUAUCCACACAUCCCUUGACCACCUUUGACUUCUCAACGCUUUCCCUGCACUGUUAGAAUCAAAAUCGAGAAAACCAAAAACAAACUCAAAAAAACAUUUGAAAGAUUCACACACUUUCGUAAAUAACUUUAAGUUCGUUGAAGAAGAAGAAAAGAAAGCUAGUAUUACUUAUGUUAAAAAAAAACUCAAAUCUUGAUGAGUCACUAUCAACAAUUUAAGUUUUUGUACUGUCAUUUUUUCAUCCAUUGGAUAUGGUUUAUUAGCAUCUCAUCCAAGGGCUUAAAAUAGACUCACUAACCGAUAAACCUACUUCCUCAAACAAAUAAGUGACUAUUUAGUUUUUUUUUCUUUCAUUCUAAACCAAACAUCCUUGCUUGUUUCUCUAACAAAGGACUUUUUCGUCCACAACUGUGGCAUCCGUACACAAAAAGUGUGUCAAAUACUGAAUGUGUCUUUGCAGGUAAAGAAAAGACAGAAUGUGUCUUUAUGUGUAACUCUCUCUUGUUUUGUGUGUUUACUGGUCUUUCCAUUGAUCAUGGCCGGCUCACAAGGGGGGACAAGUGGUGAGACCGCCCCGGGCCCAAGCCCGUGUCCCCCCGUAUAAU